rnacentral:rRNA from 1 species
GACGAACGCUGGCGGCGUGCUUAACACAUGCAAGUCGAACGCUGAAGCUUGGUGCUUGCACUGGGUGGAUGAGUGGCGAACGGGUGAGUAAUACGUGAGUAACCUGCCCUUGACUCUGGGAUAAGCCUGGGAAACUGGGUCUAAUACUGGAUACGACAUGUCACCGCAUGGUGGUGUGUGGAAAGGGUUUUACUGGUUUUGGAUGGGCUCACGGCCUAUCAGCUUGUUGGUGGGGUAAUGGCUCACCAAGGCGACGACGGGUAGCCGGCCUGAGAGGGUGACCGGCCACACUGGGACUGAGAGACGGCCCAGACUCCUACGGGAGGCAGCAGUGGGGAAUAUUGCACAAUGGGCGGAAGCCUGAUGCAGCGACGCCGCGUGAGGGAUGACGGCCUUCGGGUUGUAAACCUCUUUCAGCACGGAAGAAGCGAAAGUGACGGUACGUGCAGAAGAAGCGCCGGCUAACUACGUG